rnacentral:lncRNA from 1 species
GCAGCCCGCCGCUCUCGGUCACCUUGGCCGUCACCGAGGGGCCUCGCUUGCGGAAGCCCUCGGCCCCCGAAGAAAACACAAGUGCGCCGAGCCCCACGCAAAGCACGAGAGGUAGCAGCAGCCGAGGACCCGGGCCCAUGGCUGGAAUGCUACAACUACAUUCUCCAAGACUACCUUGUAGCUAGUUUCUGCAUGUGACCUAGCUAUCACCAAGAAGACAUAUUGCUUGAGACUAGGAGGCAGAGAUGCUAAAUGUGAAUGAUAGCUCUGCAGAGAGAGAGAUCAGAUCUUGCAAGUGCAGAGAACAAGACACCUGGAUUUCCUGGGACAGCUGCUCUGGGGAUUUUGGAUUCCAAAGGCCAGUUCUCUUGUCUUUCCAGAAAUUCUUACAAGGUACCUACUACUGUUUAAUGAAUUAUUCUCUGCUUCAACUAGAUAACAUGGAUUCGGCUGUCUACAGUCAAAAAUCCUGACAAAUACAGGAUGAUACUGCACCCCCAACCAUAGGAGUGGUCCCUACAAAUGAAGCACAUUGGAAUACAGUAGCACCCUGACUUCCAUAUGAGUAAUCUCAAGGUUUCCCUUUGAUUCCAAUUUCACCUGUAGGCUCCAAUGUAACAGUGGAAAAGCAGAGGUCAUGAUGGAGAGAAUAGGAGUGAGCCCAUAAAACCUGGUUUGGCUGGGUGCGGUGGCUCACACCUGUAAUCCCAGCACUUUGUGAGGCCGAGGCAGGCAGACCACGAGGUCAGGAGAUCAAGACCAUCCUGGCUAACAUGGUGAAACCCUGUCUCUAUUAAAAAUACAAAAAAAUCAGCCGGGCAUGGUGGCAAGUCCCUGUAAUCCCAGCUACCUGGGAAGCUGUGGCAGGACAAUCACUUGAACCCAGGAGGUGGAGGUUGCAGUGAGCUGAGAUCAUGCCACUGCACUCCAGCCUGGCAACAGAACAAGACUCCAUCGCAAAAACAAACAAACAAACAAAAAACCUGGUUCAAUGAUCAAAUAUUGAGUCAGGGAUAGGCUAAGCCAGCAACAAAAUCAACCCACAGGGACUUCAGGCCUCAGCAGAAUGAACAAGGGAAUCUACAUUUGGAGAUCAAGAUCAAGUUGGUUUGAGAAGAAAAGCCAGGACACCAGGUCUAAAUUGAGUUCCAUGAACAGUAUUUGGCCAAGUCAGAAACCCUUUGUGAAGACCCCUAGCCCCAACCACCCACAGGUGUACAUGUUCUCAUAUAUAUAGGACAUGAGGACAUGUCUUAACAUUUAAUUGGUGACCUUUGCCCCUGUGGUAUGAGAAAAUGGUAUCUCCUACUCAAAUAUCAGAUAUUUUGGUUUAAAAUGUAAAAUGAGUCAGAGUUAAUUUGUCUCAGUCAGCCAACAUGUCAUAAAAAUAUUUUAAUUCCAAGUAUUGCCAUAGUUUAUCUUAUACGUAAGAUAAAGUAGAGCCAAUAGAAAGAUGCAAAAGCAAACCAAAGUUAGAUUAUUGCUUCUGAUGGGACAAACCCUGUCCAGGAGAAUUGUGGGGCCUUUCUUUGAUUGACAGGUAGAUUUGGGAGUUUUUAGAGGGGACCAAGCCUUUUGGGGCAAGGGAAGAUGCAGUUGCAAAAUACCACUUGCUGGUUCUUUGGAAAAAAAAAAUAACAAAAUCUAUAGACCACUAGCUAGAUUAACCAAGAAAAGAGGAAAGAAGAUCCAACUAAGUUAAAUUAGAAAUGAAACUGGAAACAUUACAACCAACACCAUAGAAAUACAAAAGAUCAUUUAAGACUACUAUGACAACUUUAUGCACACAAACUAGAAAACGUAGAGGAAAUUGAUAAAUUCCUAGGGACAUACAACCCUCCUAGAUUAAAUCAGGAAGAAUUAGAAACCUUGAACAGACCAACAACAAGCAGUGAGAUUGAAUUAGUAAUUUUAAAAUUGCCAACAAAAGAAAGCCCAGGACCAGAUGGAAUCACAGCUGAAUUGUACUGGACUUUCAAAGAAGAAUUGGUACCAAUCCUACUGAAACUAUUCCAAAGGAUUGAGAGAGAGGAAAUCCUCCUUAAAUCAUUCAAUAAAGCUAGUAUCACCCUGAUACCAAAGUCAGGAAAGGACACAACAAAAAAGGAAAACUACAGACCAAUUUUCCUGAUGAACACAGAUGCAAAAAUCCUCAUCAAAAUACUAGCUAACUGAAUCCAACAGCACAUCAAAGAGAAUUCAUCAUGAUCGAGUUUCAUCACAGGGAUGCAAGGAUAGUUUAAUAUAUGCAAGUCAAUAAAUGUGAUCUAUCACAUAAACAGAAUUAAAAACAAAAAACCAUAUGAUCACCUCAAUAGAUGCAGAAAACGCAUUUGAAAAAAAAAAUCAGCAUCCCUUUAGAUAAAAACUCUCAACAAACUAAGCAUAGAAGGGGCCUACCUCAAAAUAGUAGAAGCCACAUAUGAUAAACCCACAGCCAACGUCAUACUGAAUGGGAAAAAGUCGAAAGUAUUCCCCCUGAGAACAGGAACAAGACAAGAAUACCCACUUUCACCCCUCCUAUUCAACAUAGUUCUGGAAGUCCUAGCCAGAGUAAUUAGGCAAGAGAAAGAAAUAAAGGGCAUCCAAAUUGGAAAAGAGGAAGUCAAACUACCACUGUUUGCAGAUGAUAUGAUUAUAUAACUAUAAAAUCCUAAAGACUCCUCAAAAAAGACUCUUAGAUUUGAUAAAUGAGUUUGAUAAAGUCUCAGGUUACAAAAUUGAUGUGUACAAAUCAGCAGCACUGCUAUUCACCAACGACCAAGCUGAGAAUCAAAAUAAAAACUAAAUCCCUUUUACAACAGCUGCAAUAAAAUAAAAUAAAAUACUUAGGAAUAUACUUAACCAAAGAGGUGAAAUAUCUCUACAGGGAGAAUUAUAAAACAUCACUGAAAGAAAUCAUAGAUGACACAAACAAAUGGAAACGCAUCCCAUGUUCAUGGAUUGAAAGAUUCAAUGUUGUGAAAAUGACCACACUACCCAAAGCAGUCUACAUAUUCAAUGAAAUUACCAUCAAAAUAUCAACAUUUUCAUGGAAUUAGAAAAAACAACCCUAAAAUUCAUAUGGAACCAAAAAAGAGCCCAUAUAGCCAAAGCAAUCCUAAGCAAAAAGAGCAAAUCUGGAGGCAUCAUGUUGCUGGACUUCAAAUUCUACUACAAGGCUGUAGUUACCGAAGUUAUACCAGCAUGGUACUGGUAUUAAAGUAGUCAUGUAGACCAAUGGAACAGAGUGGAGAACCCAGAAAUAAAACCAAAUAUGUACAGCCAACUGAUCUUCCACAAAGCAUACAAAAAUACACAUUAGGGAAUGGACACCCUGUUUAAUAAAUAGUGCUGGGAAAACUGGCAAGUCACAUAUAGAAGAAUGAAACUGAAUCCGUAUCUCUUGCCUUACACAAAAAUCAACUCAAGAUGGAUCAAAGACUGAAAUAAGAGCUGAAACUAUAAAAACCCUAGAAGACAACAUUGGAAAAAAUUUGUAGACAUUGGCCUAAGCAAAGAACUCAUGACUAAGACCCCAAAAACAAAUGCAACAAACACAAAAAUAAAUAAAUGGGACCUAAUUAAACUAAAAAACUUCUGCACAGCAAAAGAAAUAAUCACCAGAAUAAACAGACAACCCACAGAAUGGGAGAAAAUAUUUGCAAGCUAUGUGUCUGACUAAUAUCCAGAACCUACAAGAAACUCAAACAAAUCAGGAUGAAAAAAAAAUCUCAUUAAAAAGUGGACAAAGGACAUAGACAUUUCUCAAAAUAAGAUAUACAAAUGGCCAAAAAACAUGAAAAAAUGCUCCAUGUCACUAAGCAUCAGGGAAAUGCAAAUUAAAACCAUAAUGAGGUACCACCUUACUCCUGUAAGAAUGGCUAUUAUUAGGCCAGGUGUGGUGGCUCAUGCCUGUAAUCCCAGCACUUUGGGAGGCCGAGGUGGGUGGAUCACUGAAGGUCAGGAAUUCGAGACUAGCCUGGCCAACAUGGGGAAACCCUGUCUCUACUAAAAAUACAAAAGUUAGCCAGGCGUGGUGGCAGAUGCCUGAAAUCCCAGCUACUUGGAAGGCUGAGACAGGAGAAUCACUUGAACCUGGAAGCAGAGGUUGCAGUGAUCCAAGAUUCUGCCAUUGCGCUCCAGCCUGGGUGACAGAGUGAGACUCUGUCUCAAAAAAAAAAAACCAAAAAAAAACAAACAAAAAAACAAAAAAAGAAUUGACUAUUAUUAAAAAGUCAGAAAACAAUAGAUGUUGGUGUGGAUGUGGGGAAAGGGGAACACUUUACACUGCUAGUGGGAAUGUAAAUUAGUGCAACCUCUAUGGAAAACAGUAUGGAGAUUCCUUAAAGAGUGAAAAGUAGAUCUACCAUUCAAUCCAGGAUUCCCAUGGCUGGGUCUCUAUCAAAGGGAAAUAUGUCAUUAUAUGAGAAAGACACUUGCACACAUAUGUUUAUAGCAGCACAAUUCACAAUUGUAAAGAUGUGAAACCAACCUAAGUGCCCAUCAACAAAUGAGUGGAUUACGAAAAUGUGGUAUAUAUGCACCAUGGAAUACUACUCAGCCAUUAAAAGGAACAAAAUAAUGUAUUUUGCAGCAACUUGGAUGGAGCUGGAGGCCAUUAGUCUAAGUGAAGUAACACAGGAGUGGAAAAGCAAAAACCAUAUGCUCUCAAUUAUAAGUGAGAGCUAAGCUAUGAGCAUGCAAAUGCAUACAGAGUGAUAUAAUGGACUUUAAAGACUCAGAAGAGGGAGGGUGGGAUGGGAGAUAGGGAUACAAAAACUGCACAUUAGGUACAAUGUACACUAAUCGGGUGACAGGUGCACUAAAAUCUCAGAAUUCACCGCUAUAUAAUUCAUGUAACAAAAUCCACUUGUACCACAAAAGCUAUUGAAAUAAAAAGAAACACAGCUUGUUGAUUUCAGUGAUCCAUUGAGCCCCAGCUCAAUCCCCAUGGCAUCCACCAUGGCACAAGUCCAGGCAGUUCACCAUUGGAGAAGGGUCUCUUCAUGUCAUGACUGUUAUUAGCUGCAUAUCCCUAAAGGCAGAAUUCCCAAACUUGGAGCAUUUUAUUUCCUGGAGUUUCCUCUUUUUCCUCUUUGUCCAUAACAUGAAUCAAUAAUAAGCUUCUUAAGACUGCUCUUGUAUUAGAUAAUCAUUUUUAUUCUACAAAAUUGUUGGAACUUACAUCAUCCACAAAUUAAAA